rnacentral:rRNA from 1 species
GAGGAAUAUUGGUCAAUGGACGAGAGUCUGAACCAGCCAAGUAGCGUGAAGGAUGAAGGUUCUAUGGAUUGUAAACUUCUUUUAUACGGGAAUAAACGAAUCCACGCGUGGAUUUUUGCAUGUACCGUAUGAAUAAGGAUCGGCUAACUCCGUGCCAGCAGCCGCGGUAAUACGGAGGAUCCGAGCGUUAUCCGGAUUUAUUGGGUUUAAAGGGAGCGUAGGCGGACGCUUAAGUCAGUUGUGAAAGUUUGCGGCUCAACCGUAAAAUUGCAGUUGAUACUGGGUGUCUUGAGUACAGUAGAGGCAGGCGGAAUUCGUGGUGUAGCGGUGAAAUGCUUAGAUAUCACGAAGAACUCCGAUUGCGAAGGCAGCUUGCUGGACUGUAACUGACGCUGAUGCUCGAAAGUGUGGGUAUCAAACAGGAUUAGAUACCCUGGUAGUCCACACAGUAAACGAUGAAUACUCGCUGUUUGCGAUAUACAGUAAGCGGCCAAGCGAAAGCGUUAAGUAUUCCACCUGGGGAGUACGCCGGCAACGGUGAAACUCAAAGGAAUUGACGGGGGCCCGCACAAGCGGAGGAACAUGUGGUUUAAUUCGAUGAUACGCGAGGAACCUUACCCGGGCUUGAAUUGCAACUGAAUGAUGUGGAGACAUGUCAGCCGCAAGGCAGUUGUGAAGGUGCUGCAUGGUUGUCGUCAGCUCGUGCCGUGAGGUGUCGGCUUAAGUGCCAUAACGAGCGCAACCCUUAUCGAUAGUUACCAUCAGGUUAUGCUGGGGACUCUGUCGAGACUGCCGUCGUAAGAUGUGAGGAAGGUGGGGAUGACGUCAAAUCAGCACGGCCCUUACGUCCGGGGCUACACACGUGUUACAAUGGGGGGUACAGAAGGCAGCUACACGGCGACGUGAUGCUAAUCCCGAAAGCCUCUCUCAGUUCGGAUUGGAGUCUGCAACCCGACUCCAUGAAGCUGGAUUCGCUAGUAAUCGCGCAUCAGCCACGGCGCGGUGAAUACGUUCCCG